AUUGAACGCUGGCGGCAGGCCUAACACAUGCAAGUCGAGCGAGCGGCGGACGGGUGAGUAAUGUAUGGGGACUGCCCGAUGGAGGGGGAGAACUACUGGAAGCGGUAGCUAAUACCGCAUACAAUCGGAUAACCUAUGUGGGAUUAGCUAGUAGGUGGGGUAAUGGCCUACCUAGGCGACGAUCCCUAGCUGGUCUGAGAGGAUGAUCAGCCACACUGGGACUGAGACACGGUCCAGACUCCUACGGAGGCAGCAGUGGGGAAUAUUGCACAAUGGGCGCAAGCCUGAUCCAGCCAUGCCGCGUGUAUGAAGAAGGCCCUAGGGUUGUAAAGUACUUUCAGUCGGGAGGCGUUACCGACAGAAGAAGCACCGGCUAACUCCGUGCCAGCAGCCGCGGUAAUAC
rnacentral:rRNA from 1 species